rnacentral:lncRNA from 1 species
UCUUUACGAAACCAAAAGAGAAAUACACCCCACAGGCAAUCCACAAAAUCGGCAUCACCUAAAAUUUUACCUAAUUUUCAAGGGCCUGACAAAAACCGAGUCUCCUAUCCAAAAUAAAGCUUUAUUGAUGAUGAUGAUGAUGAUGAUGAUAAUCUUGAUUAUAUCAAUUCUUGCUAGCGUAAUAGUAAAUGUUUCGAAUGAUGGAUUGAUUUUUGAUUACGGCAAACAAUAACGGCGAUACACAAACAAAGCACAGGGCAGCUGGACCGACGUAACGGUCCGAUUCCAUACCUAGACGAACUAGUUUCCUUCUUGAUGUUGCCGAGGCGGUCGGCCAAUGUCGGUCAUUUUUAUGGCCAUCUUACUGUCGCCGGCGCAACUGCUGUUGUCCCCAGUUCGGUUGAGCUUCUUAAGCGCGACUUCUUUUAUUGGUGAUUUAGCCCCAGACUGUGCGGCAAGCGCUGACCUACCCGCAAAACAAAGCGACGACUUGGCCACGUACCCCGUCCCUACGAUUAUGACAAUGUUUGACUUGUCCUACGAGUCGAAACGGUUUUGAAGGUGUGCCGCACGGUAUCGUGAACCGAUCUGGUGAAAAAAUGCCGUCAAACCAAUAGACAACGAACCGACAGAAUCCAUGAACGUGAACGAGGGCUGAUUGAAGCUAUCCUACAAGAAACACAUAUAUGUAACUUAUUUUACUGUGUACGAUGUUUGUUGGUUGAACUCGAGAUGGAUGACUUCGAUAUUUUACGGAAUGACUGUCAGAUAGGGAAUAGUUGUGUCGUCUGGUAGAAUUGGUCGGGCGAAUUGGUGGUGCCUACUCGCGUCAAAAUAGGGUUGAUGUCAUUAUCACGACGACGAUCGGCUACGGGACGGCAGAUAGGCGAACGGCUGAAAGCACACGGCGAAAACCAGAGAGCGAAGGAGAUAAAACGAGAAUGGAGAAAUAUUCAUUCACGGUCACAACUAAUGGAAUUGGCAUCAUACACUUGCAGAAAAGAUGUAAUGGCCGGCAUUUCUGAGCUAACGGCUUUGUCGCAAUGAUAAGCAUAGAGUCAUCGAAAUAACGACUGGUCACAACUACCUCGACACCAAGUAUUUGUUACACCGAUCCCGUAGUCAGACACAGGAAUUAACAUAUUGUUCAGUCUUCCGUUUUUUCGGGAACGGCCUAACGAGCCGGUGACUGGCAGUUAACUCAGAAGCAGGACGUCAUUGCUAACUUCGACUCAUACUAUCAUCUAUUCACAUAACCAACUAUUAACAUAAGUUACAAGGCACACGUGGCUACAUUCGUGCUUCUCCAAAAGAAACGUCCAAUCGGCAGGUCAGAUUCGGACGCUGCGUUUGGCACUCUUCUUUUUCACUAUCAAGAAGCCACCGCUGUGUUUUUCCUCCGCUAAAUUCAGCAAAGACAACAUUUGUCUUCUUGCCUUACACCGUCAUCGACAACGAAGCUUCUAGGGAAUCGUGAUACUGUCAACAAUAACAAUCAGCCGCACGGUCAGUCAUAAGAAGACUGUUAACAGAUUAGUGUGAAUCGGCAAAUUGUAGAAGGGUGGAGCCGGUCUGUCCUUCUAACUGUUCCGCUUGUUUCACGAUUCGUAUGUUUAGCAUUAUAAUAAACUCAAUGGUCGUGGCGUAAUUUGGGAGCGGCCUAUCGUUUACGCUACUGGCUGACUGAUUUAUUUCACGUCCAGUGACACCUAUUGCUCAAGGCUAUAGCAUCCGAUUGCUUACUGCCAGUGUAUUACGAACGAAUAAACUCGUAUCUUCAAUUCACGUAUACUUCGUCCUUGCGAAGAUAGGAGCUUCAUUCCCAUAGGAAAUCCUAAACGUUUCGUGCGUGUGAAUUGGUAAUAAUUGUCUUUUAGUAAUUGAACCGCAGGCAAAUUAAUGGACACAUCCUACCAAUGUCUGCGCUGUAGCGUAUUCUGAGCAUAUGCCAAAGUGUGUUUGUAUAAACUUUUGAAUGAGUUCACUCGUGAGGAGCUUUUGCCUACAUCUUCUCAUUCAUAGUAGAUAGCGACCCGCAUCUCACCGGAUAGCUCUCCUCCUGAAGUGUUCUUCUUCUCCUCUAUCGAUUAGACUAGGAAGGCCAGCUUCAACAAGUGUACCUGAUACUGGUGCAUCGCAUUUAGUUUAAAAACGUUACGCUUUAAACUUGAUCUGGCUACGUUACAGCAAAACUUCGGUAUGCGAAGCCUCGGAUUGUCCAUGUUUUUCUCUUCCUCCGGACAAACUGACGCGUGUCGCUAAUCAGCCGUAUUUUCAUCUGUUCAUUUGAACAUUAGCGUGAUGGGAAGCGGGACGAAAGCUCGAUUGACAAACAAGGAUGGUCGAAACAAUCAAUUUGGACGAACCGCUCCCGAGCAAGUCAGGCCGAAGGAGCAAGCACAUGCGAGUAACUUGCUUGUUUGACCGGCCUCAGUCAACGUACUUGCACCGAAUUUUCAGAUCGAAACAGACGACACUGGGAACGCGCUGUGUUACGAGGCAUCAAGGAGGAUUUAUGGAACCGCAUCUCCUAAUAGGCGCAAUGCUUACCGUUACUGUACAAGUAACAUGGCGUAGAGCAAUCAGGGCCGAGUUAAGUGCUCGUCGUCCCACUCCUCACAGAGGAGAAUUAAAUACAUAAAAAAAAGACGUUUGCAGGCCGAAAAGACAGAUAUAUGAUCGGCAUUGGCAUAUUCAGUAUGACAUCGGAUAUAUGGUACUGCAUUCGUACGUAAGCCUCUAUGUAGAGCUGUAUAUAUCUGAAGCGGGGUGAAGUCUGGUAGUAAUAGUUCUCGUCUCAAAUCACUGGAGUAAAGUUUUACCAUACGCAAAACAAGCAUCUUUGUAUGAAAACCAUAUCCGUGUACAACUAACCAAAAGUUCACUCAUCUUGGAACAGCUAUCUUUUUAGGCGCUCACUUCGGCAGCGACUCACUCGAUCGAGGAGGCUUAUCAGCCGGGCCACGACAGGUCUAUUUGAAAGUGUUAGGCGAGUCCCCACUGAUUUGAUUUUCCAGUAAUACUGAUGUGAUAUUUUCUUCGAAAGAGCACACGAUCCCCUACUCAAAGUUUGACUCAAAAUUGCGACAAACAGAGGCUGGUUGCGGUACGUCGUAGCCAUCAGUUACCCCGUCAACUUCGAUUGGCAGAUGACUCGUCUGUAAAAGUAUAUGGUUUUCUAUGCGCUGCCGGCUGAGGUUCCGCUGUAUUGCGUCUCCUAAAUGAUGCAACGAUAGGCCUUCCAUGUUACCAUCGUGCUUUUUAGCGUCGUAUGAGUACGUUGACAGUCGUUAAUUGUGCUACAAGGCGGUAAAAUGAUUUGCUGAUGUUAAGGACAUCAUGAGAUUUUAGUCGCAAGGAACCGGGUUAGGGGUUGUUUUUAUUGACGAUUCAAAGAUUUGUGCCGCUAAUUCUAAACGAAAUAAUAAUAUAUAAAAUACUACGAAAUAGGUGGGCCACGUGGAAAAAGGAACAUUACAUUUCUUCCGCUCGUAGCGAAUAGCACUUCUAGACUUCGGUAGUUGCAAAAGUAAAAUCAAUAGACAGCUAUAGGUCAAGGAAACGUCACACUUUGAGAAGACUGAAAUCUUCUCAAAGUUAUCGAUUUUUUCAUCUACGAACCAAAAUUAUACCGUGGCCUUGCGUCGGUAAAACGUGAGCGGGUACCGCGGCCGACAUAUUCGAUGGAGGUAUCAUUUUCGCUAAAUCAAGUAGACCUGAUAUAUCCUUUUCGCGCUCUUCUACGUAGAGUUGAUGGAAUUACGAUUUUGUAAUGAGGAAACACUGAUUGGCUCUCAUUUUGUGUGGUUUAUCUCCGCUACCCAGGAAAUCCUCCUGGGUCCAGACAUUAGAUUUGCAUACAUAUAAACAAAUGUAAGACGUCGGUGAUACCGAAAAAUGGUUGUUAAUAUUCAAGACAGA